rnacentral:rRNA from 1 species
GGAUUGGGAGGGUUCUACGGAACCCGUUUGGUGAAUCUAGUGCCGAGAAAAGCCUUCUAUGUGUUGAAUUUCUAGUACCCGUACCCCAAACCGACACAGGUGGGUGGGUAGAGCAUACCUAGGGGCGCGUGAUAACUCUCUCCAAGGAACUCGGCAAAAUGGCCCUGUAACUUCGGGAUAAGGGGUGCCUGCGUGAGCAGGCCGCAGUGAAAUGGCUCUGGCGACUGUUUACCAAAAACACAGGUCUCUGCUAAGUCGUAAGACGAUGUAUAGGGGCUGACUCCUGCCCAGUGCCGGAAGGUUAAGGAAGUUGGUUAGCGCAAGCGAAGCUGGCGACCGAAGCCCCGGUGAACGGCGGCCGUAACGAUAACGGUCCUAAGGUAGCGAAAUUCCUUGUCGGGUAAGUUCCGACCCGCACGAAAGGAGUAACGAUCAGAGCGCUGUCUCGGAGAGAGACACGGCGAAAUAGGAUUGUCCGUGAAGAUACGGACUACCUGCACCCGGACAGAAAGACCCUAUGAAGCUUUACUGUAACUUGGAAUUGUGUUCGGACUUUGUCUGCGCAGAAUAGGUGGGAGGCUAUGAAACGUUCCUCGCGGGGAACUGGAGCCAUCGUUGAGAUACCACUCUGGCAGAGUCUGGAUUCUAACCUACGGGGACAGUUCCAGGUGGGCAGUUUGACUGGGGCGGUCGCCUCCUAAAAUGUAACGGAGGCGCGCAAAGGUUCCCUCAGGCUGGUUGGAAAUCAGCCAUAGAGUGUAAAAGCAUAAGGGAGCUUGACUGUGAGACCUACAAGUCGAGCAGGGACGAAAGUCGGCUUUAGUGAUCCGACGGCACUGAGUGGAAGGGCCGUCGCUCAACGGAUAAAGUUACUCUAAGGAUAACAGGCUGAUCUCCCCCAAGAGUUCACAUCGACGGGGAGGUUUGGCACCUCGAUGUCGGCUCGUCGCAACCUGGGGCGGUAGUACGUCCCAAGGGUUGGGCUGUUCGCCCAUUAAAGCGGCACGUGAGCUGGGUUCAGAACGUCGUGAGACAGUUCGGUCCAUAUCCGGUGUAGGCGUAGGAGCAUUGAAAGGAUCUCUCCUUAGUACGAGAGGACCGGGAGGGACGUACCUCUGGUGUACCUGUUAUCUUGCCAACGGUAAACGCAGGGUGGCCAUGUACGGAGUGGAUAACCGCUGAAAGCAUCUAAGUUGGAAGCCCACCUUAAGAUGAGUGCUCCCUUGAGGCCACGGGAAGACGACCCGUUUGAUAGGCGCUAGGUGGAAGUGCAGUAAUGCAUGCAGCCGAGGCGUACUAAUAGGCCGAUGGC